AGCUGAGCUUACUGACAUGGAGCUUGAUGAAUGUGAGGAAACUACUUUACAUGAUGUGAACAUUGAGGAGGAGAUGAGGAGGAAGCAACAACAACAGGCCCAAGAAGCAUAUGAUGAAGAUGAUGAAAUGCAUGGUGGUGGUGGCCAGAGGGUGCAAUGUGCUCAGCAAUAAUCAAUGAGCAGGGGAUGAUUGUGAAUCGAAGAGAGCUGAAUGGGAUCAAGAUGAACUGAUGUGGGUUUGACAAUUAUUUAAGUAAUAAGAUUCUCAACAUUGUGAUAGGAGAUAGACUUCUAGUUUCCUGUAUGGAGAUUUCACCUAUGUUUGCAGACUCGGGCAAUUAC
rnacentral:lncRNA from 1 species